UGGGGAAUUUUGGACAAUGGGCGAAAGCCUGAUCCAGCAAUGCCGCGUGUGUGAAGAAGGCCUUCGGGUUGUAAAGCACUUUUGUCCGGAAAGAAAUCCUUGGCUCUAAUACAGUCGGGGGAUGACGGUACCGGAAGAAUAAGCACCGGCUAACUACGUGCCAGCAGCCGCGGUAAUACGUAGGGUGCAAGCGUUAAUCGGAAUUACUGGGCGUAAAGCGUGCGCAGGCGGUUUGCUAAGACCGAUGUGAAAUCCCCGGGCUCAACCUGGGAACUGCAUUGGUGACUGGCAGGCUAGAGUAUGGCAGAGGGGGGUAGAAUUCCACGUGUAGCAGUGAAAUGCGUAGAGAUGUGGAGGAAUACCGAUGGCGAAGGCAGCCCCCUGGGCCAAUACUGACGCUCAUGCACGAAAAGCGUGGGGGAGCAAAACAGGAUUAGAUACCCCUGGUAGUCCACGCCCUAAAACGAUGUCAACUAGUUGUUGGGGAUUCAUUU
rnacentral:rRNA from 1 species